rnacentral:rRNA from 1 species
UCCGUAGGUGGAUCAAUCAGUCAGAGGCGAAAUCCUGCAGCUUAACUGUAGAACUGCCUUUGAUACUGUUGAUCUUGAGUCAUUAUGAAGUGGUUAGAAUGUGUAGUGUAGCGGUGAAAUGCAUAGAUAUUACACAGAAUACCGAUUGCGAAGGCAGAUCACUAAUAAUGUACUGACACUGAGGGACGAAAGCGUGGGGAGCGAACAGGAUUAGAUACCCUGGUAGUCC